CCGAGAAUCAAACCAACAGGGAGCGCCUUUGUAGCGGCGAGUGAACCGGCAAAAAGCUCAGAUUUGAAAGCCUCUUUUGGCAUUGUAUUCUGAAGCCUUGGUCCUGGGACCUGGUGCUUAAGUCUUCUGGAAAGGAGCGCCAUGGAGGGUGAUAGCCCCGUGAAGCACUAACCCCAUUGUAGGAUCUUGGCAUGGAGUCGAGUUGUUUGGGAAUGCAGCUCAAAUGGGUGGUAUGCUCCAUCUAAAGCUAAAAUAUCUGCGAGAGACCGAUAGCGAACAAGUACUGUGAAGGAGAAGAUGAGAAAGAACUUUGAAAAGAGAGUGAAAUAGUACGUGAAAAUUGUUGAAAUGGAAGGAUAGGCCCGCUAACCACGCAGAGUCGUGUUUAGGGGGGAGGGACAAAAGCUGUAUACUUUCAUCGAUUCUUCGGAGUGAUGUCGUUGCGGUGCAUACUCCCCACCUGGGCGCCGAGAUCUAAGAUCGACGCCCUAAAUGGGGGGUCUAUCCACC
rnacentral:rRNA from 1 species